UUAUGGUUGCACAGUUAGCAUUUGCACUCUCUGGGAGCGAUUUGAUGGUUUCAUGCAGUAACGAUUAACACGUCUGCUUGCUUUUUCCUGCAGAAUUCAUCACUAAGCCGCCUCUCUACAGCAGAGGAGACAUGUGCCUUUCCUAGUCAUUUCAGCCAUGGAGUCGGAAACCUGCUCAGCCUGAAUUUAACCAAAUGCAACUUACAGAAGGACGAUGACGUUGUCGAACACCUCAAGCACUUGGAAGGCCGGCUGAAUAUCACUAAUAAAUGCCCACUUCUGGUGGACCUGUACUGUAAAGACACGAAUCUGAGAUCUGCUCCCAUCGCCUCACUAGAAGGUUUCGUUGAAAAACUGACCACCCUGCUGCAGAAGUACCAUGAGAAAUGCGACCUUUAAGGCAGACCAGAAUCCAGUAAUCCAUCAGAUUCAGAGUUUUGGGGAUCACUGCUAAUGUCUUGAAAAGUGGGCAUCGAUAUAUUUCUCAGAAUGUUGGGGAAGACACUUUCCAAUGUUUUGUACCUCCUGGCUACCUUCCUAAAAUUAUUCUUUCUGUGCAAAAAUCAAUCUUUCAUUGUCAAACAUGUUGUUAUUAUUAUUAUUUUUUUUACAAUCAAUCCAGUUUCUACCUUAUUUGGUCAAACGAUUCGGACUAAAACAAAGAAAGACGUAAUCUGCCUAAAGAAGUGAUGAAGGAAUGUCUCUGUAUUAGUUUGUGACUGCAUUCUGAAUGUUAUCAGUACUUUCUUACAAUUAACCAGGAGCUGUUGAUUCCAAAAAGUACAGUUUAUCAAACACUAUGCAAGUAUAAAACAGUACUUUCGUAAAAUCUAACAUUAUGAAGUUGAUCAUGGUAUGUGCUAUGUGAUUUUAAAAGGUUUGUGUAUUUAUUUUAUUUAUCAUUAAUUUAUCAAUAUAGUGCAGACGCAUAUUGAGUUUUUAUACUUUAGUUUUGUGUAUUUAUAUAUGUUAAGAAAAGUGUUGAACCUAUGUGAUUUAAACAUGUAACUGAAUGUUAACAUCAUACUGAUGUCUUAUUGAGAUAAUAUGUAAGGAUCCCCUUCUAGUUUGGUCAUAUUGAACAGUCUCCUCGUUUCUUUACUUUUUGUUUUUGUUGUGUUACUUUGGUCCUGAAGUGUUAUUUUAUAGUCCA